rnacentral:lncRNA from 13 species
UUUUUUUUUUUUUUUUUACUCAUUGAAACAAGUCUAAGAAGCGGUAGAUCUGCUCUGUGGGCAAUUUUGUAUUUAUUGUUUACCUUUAUUUAACUAGGCAAGUCAGUUAACAACAAAUUAUUUAUGAUGACAACCUACACCGGCCAAACCCCGAUGCCGCUGGACCAAUUGUGUGCCGUCCUAUGGGACUCCCAAUCACGGCCGGUUGUGAUACAGCCUGGAUUUGAAUCAGGGUGCCUGUAGUGACGCCUCUAGAACUGCGAUGCAGUGCCUUAGACUGCUUUGCUGCUCAGGAGGCCUAGUUCAGUUGUUUCAUAUUCCAAAUAACCUACAGUAAACUAGACUACUACAUUGCAUCCAGUAGUUGGAAUUGUUCAGAUUUUACUCCCCUCCAAAAAUGUCACUCAAAUGUAACCUAGAAACAUUUCAUUGAGACCACAUCAAUUUAAUUUAGGAUCAAACACAAGACUUCUGUGUUGGCUAUGUUGUUUGAUAUAAAAUCCUAGGGAGAGCCCUGAUGUAUGCAUUUUAAGCAUAUCUCUUCUAGUUAGCUAUCGAAGAGCAGCCAAUUACCAAGUACCAUACCAGUCUAAAGCCUCACAUUCCUACUUAGGCAGUCUUCUGUCAACAUCAUUAUUAGGCAAAAAAAAGUGAAUUGCUUAUGAUGUGAGCAGUGUGGGAGUCGCACAUGCGCUGUCGUGGGGGCCGGCGGUGGCACCACCGUGCUGAAUUGGUACUCCUAAAUAUUCUUCAAGGUUGGCAGGUCUGUGACACUGUUUGCACUUGGGCUGAUUACCUUAUUCCCCUCUUCCAGACAGAGACCCUGCCUUGCCGUUGGGCAUACCCACCCUGUCCAUCGUGGCCUCCACUGCCAGCUCUGUAGCCCUCAUCCUGCUGCUGGUGGUCCUGUUUGUCCUGCUGCAGCCAAAACUCAAGUCCUUCAACCACAGCCGCCGUGAGCAGGGGGUGUCAGGCCAGCCUGUGUCCAUCAUGGUGGAGGGGGUGCAGGUGGCCCUGCCCUCCUAUGAGGAGGCGGUGUGUGGUGGAGGGGGUCUGAGUCUCAGCUCUGAGUCCCGGGUCCAAAUAGUGCUGUCAGAGGGCCAGCAGGCUGCAGGGACGACCGAGCCGCUCAUUGCACAGGCCAGGCCCUCCACCCUCUCCCAGCUCUCAGAGAUGGCAUUGGUUCACCCAGUACCACCAUCCUUCACUUCUUCCCCUUCAUACUCCUGCUGGGGCCCGGAGCAGGCUGCUGCUGCAGCGCCUUCACCUUCACAGCGGAGGGACUCCACAGGCAGUGAGCAGCACAGUCUGCCCCUCCUCAACUCUGAGAUGGACUACUCUGACGAUAUGCCUUUGUUAAAGGAGGCCUGAAUCAUGCUGCAGCCACUUGGGCGUACAUUAGAGACAUCCAGGGUUGCUGUUGUGCGGCUGUGUUGAGUCGGAGGCAUGUAUGAAGCUCCCCACUGCAGCAGCUGCCAACACAAGACUACCCACCCACCUCCUCCAGGGGCACUAAGUGAGGCCGUGUCAUGCUCAGCAGAAUGUUGCUUCUCCCCCAUCCAGAGGAGGGCUCAGAGGGGUUUAACAUGUACAUAAUGCUUAGCCAUUUUCUAAGUGUCUGACACUUGUUAUUUUAACCAUUGGCUUAGCGCAGGGACGUAACUGUAAAAGAAUGACCACCCUGUAUGUUGGAUGGUCUUCUGGAAAGCUCGAUAUGACAUUUGAAAAUUCUCUUUACAGCAUUACAUGUAUUUCUUUUCAGUGGUUAAACACAUUUUAUGAGCUAAUCAUUGCACCCAUCACCAAUUUGUACCAUGUCGACUUGUUUUUACAUGAUCACUGCAGAACAUGCACAGCAGCAUGUUAGGAAUGAUGCAUGAAGACCACUGCAACUUAGAUUGAACUGGUCAUUCUCACACAUACACAGAUUUGACCAUUUAUGCUCGAUAAG